UACGUAGGGGGCAAGCGUUAUCCGGAUUUACUGGGUGUAAAGGGAGCGUAGGCGGCAAGACAAGUCUGAUGUGAAAGCCCGGGGCUCAACCCCGGGACUGCAUUGGAAACUGUUUAGCUAGAGUGUCGGAGAGGUAAGUGGAAUUCCUAGUGUAGCGGUGAAAUGCGUAGAUAUUAGGAGGAACAUCAGUGGCGAAGGCGACUUACUGGACGAUAACUGACGCUGAGGCUCGAAAGCGUGGGGAGCAAACAGG
rnacentral:rRNA from 1 species